UGUAGUUUGUUUUGACAUUUCCGUUUUAUUUAACCUAACCUAUGUUUUGUGUUUUGUUGUUUGGUUGUAUACAAGGAGUUGUAUAUUGAAAUUGAAUUGAUUCUUGUUUCAUUGAAUUAUUGAAUAUAGAGGAGUUGUUCUGUUGCAAGUUGUUCUAGUUUUGUUGUUUUAAAAUCUGAGAAAAACUAUUUAUAGAUAAUGGUGAACUUAAACAAGAAAUGGGCAUGCAGUUUGCUGAUUACUUAAUUGUGUACUCACAACACAUAGGAUUUCUCCGACACAGUUUCCAGUACAGAACUGCCACAGGAAUCUCCAGUGGAGUUGCAACCGCUCUCACGGACGUCCACAAAUCAAGUUACAAAACUGUUACAUGACUCUCUAUUGGAGUUGCAACCGCAAUUGGAUAAAAGUGAAAUUCGAAUAAUGCCAGAAAUACUAUAACCGUCCAAAGUGAUAGUGUGAAAUUAGAAUCAAAUGAUUAUGUAUAAAUCAUAUUGAUAAUAAUUAUAAAUAGUAACUGUAUUUUUUAAAUAAACAGAUUUGAUAAGUUA
rnacentral:lncRNA from 1 species